rnacentral:lncRNA from 1 species
AAGAUAUCCUUCCGUUUCCAAAAUAACCUGACACAAAACAGAGACGAAGGCAGAGAUAAACAUUGAUCCAUGAGUUAGUGUCGUAGAGAGCAUCAACAAGACACCUUUUACUCUCUGAAGUAGUCCGUGCCACUCGAAUUCUGGAAUUACUAACCUCAGAGAUGCACAAAGUUCAUGGUCAAUAUUGUGAUGGAUCAGCAACCAUAGUAGUUUGCUGCAUCAAAGAGUUUAUAGGCUCAUAAAUUAAUUACAACACGAAAUUGAUAAUCACAUUUUGUAGAGAACAUCGCAUUCCAAAAUAGAUAUUUUGAUUUGCACUUUCACCUCCCGCUCCUUAGAUAUGUAGAUCAAAGAAUUUACCACUCAGAAGUGAGGAUCACAUAUUCAGUAGAGAAAUCUCAUUCCUAAAUAGAAAUGUGCAAGCUUCUAAAAAAUAGUUUUGAAGGUAACUCCAACCAAGAUACAC